rnacentral:misc_RNA from 1 species
UGUGGGAGUUGCGGGCUUCUCAGAAGUCGGCUCUCCUUAAAUGUAUUAGCGAAACCUUUGGUUGACCAUCUCUGGUGUGAUAAUUAUCUACGCCGCUGAGAAUCAUCCUUUAUUAUGAGGUUCUGCUUCUAACCGUCCUCUCCGAGGACAACUCUUGACAUUUUGACCUCAAAUCAGGUAGGACUACCCGCUGAACUUAA